ACGGAGGAUGCAAGCGUUAUCCGGAAUGAUUGGGCGUAAAGGGUCCGCAGGUGGCAUUGUAAGUCUGCUGUUAAAGAGUUUGGCUCAACCAAAUAAGAGCAGUGGAAACUACAAAGCUAGAGUGUGGUCGGGGCAGAGGGAAUUCCUGGUGUAGCGGUGAAAUGCGUAGAUAUCAGGAAGAACACCAGUGGCGAAGGCGCUCUGCUAGGCCGAGACUGACACUGAGGGACGAAAGCUAGGGGAGCGAAUGGG
rnacentral:rRNA from 1 species